AACGAACGCUGGCGGCAGGCUUAACACAUGCAAGUUGAACGCGUGUAGCAAUACACGAGUAGCGCACGGGUGCGUAACGCGUGGGAACCUUCCUCGUAGUUCGGAAUAACUCAGGGAAACUUGAGCUAAUACCGAAUGCCUCCUCCGGGAGAAAGAUUUAUCGCUACGAGAUGGGCCCGCGCCAGAUUAGGUAGUUGGUAGGGUAACGGCCUACCAAGCCGACGAUCUGUAGCUGGACUGAGAGGAUGAUCAGCCACACUGGGACGGAGACACGGCCCAGACUCCUACGGGAGGCAGCAGUGGGGAAUAUUGGACAAUGGGGGCAACCCUGAUCCAGCCAUGCCGCGUGAGGGAAGAAGGCCUUCGGGUUGUAAAGCUCUUUCGACGGGGACGAUGAUGACGGUACCCGUAUAAGAAGCCCCGGCUAACUUCGUGCCAGCCGCCGCCGUAA
rnacentral:rRNA from 1 species